UCAAACCUUUUUCAGCUUCUUCUCUCCUUCUUCUCUCUCUCUCUCUUUCCCACUCAUACAUUCAAACCUCUUCAACUUUUUCUCUCUCUCUUUCUCAGUCGCACAGAACACCAUGGCUUGCAGAUAAUCUUCAGUAUUCAUCUUUUACUCUUAAAUUUUUACUCUCAGAUUCAUGACCACCGUUACCAACAACAAAAAGGUAACAACUUUUCUGGGUUCUUUCUUUGUUCUUGAUGAUUUUCGAGUAUUGUUUUUCUUUUAGAUCUACUUAUUUUGGUUGGAUGAAUGUUCUCAGAUCUACUUUUCUUUGUUGACCAAAUGUGUUGGGUCAAAGUUUUUGUCUCAGAUCGACUGUUGUAUGGAUUUGUUCUUCUCGGAUCUACUUUUGUUUUGGUUGAUUUUUUCCUCUGAUAUUCUUAAGCACCUUCACGAGACUUCAAAAAAGAUCUACUUUUCUUUUGGUACGAGAUUUGUUGGAUUUAGGUUUUUCUCUCAGAUCUACUCCUCUUUUGAAUGGUUUCUUUGCUCUCAGAUUUUUUUUUCGAUGUAUAAUGUUCGAUUUAUUUUUUCUUCUCAGAUCUACCUUUCUUUUAGUUGAUGUUUUGCUCUGAGAGCCUUGAGCAACUUGACGAAUACAAAAAAGAUCUACUGUUGGAUGAGUUUGUUCUUCUCAUAUAUAUUUUUCUUUGGGUUGAUGUUUUUCUCUGAGAUUCUUGAGGACCUUCACCUUACUAAAAAAAUGUAACAACUUCUGAUUUUUUUUCGUUCUUCUACCAUCUACUCAGAUCUA